rnacentral:rRNA from 1 species
GAUGAACGCUGGCGGCGUGCCUAAUACAUGCAAGUCGAGCGAACGGACGCGAAGCUUGCUUCUCUGAUGUUAGCGGCGGACGGGUGAGUAACACGUGGUUAACCCACCUAUAAGACUGGGAUAACUUCGGGAAACCGUAGCUAAUACCGGAUAAUAUUUUGAACCGCAUGGUUCAAAAGUGAAAGCCGGUCUUGCUGACACUUAUAGAUGGAUCCGCGCUGCAUUAGCUAGUUGGUAAGGUAACGGCUUACCAAGGCAACGAUGCAUAGCCGACCUGCGAGGGGGAUCGGCCACACUGGAGGUGGGACGCGGUACAGGCUCCGACGGGAGGCACCAGUAGGGAAGGUACCGCACUGGGCGGAAGCCUGACGGAGCAGCGCAGCGUUGGUGAUGAAGGUCUUCGUAUCGGAAAACGCUGUUAGUGGUGAAGAACAUAUGUGUAAGUGACGGUGCACAUCGUGACGGUACCUAGUCAGAAAGCCACGGCUAACUACGUG